AAAAACAGGUGCGUGAGUGUUGCUUGACCAAAAAUAAACAACAAUAGGUUUGUCAUGCAGCUCUGCAAUUGAGACUGCUCGAAUUCGGAUAUUUUAGUACACUUUUAACACGAGAAAACACCUUGCGGAACCUCCAGUGCGGGGCUAGACCCAAAUGCAGGACUCCAAGACGAGGACGUGAUGUUAGGCGGAGCUUUAUUCAGGCUGAAGUGGCACAGAAACACAGUGACGAGGAUAGCUCAACACGGCGCUAUUUUCAGUGGUGGAGAUGCCUACGUCCCAUCGUGAAACAGCUGUGAGCAGUGACAGGUGUCACUGGACAGGGCAGUGGCCACGCCCCUCUUGGCCGUGGUCCAGCCUGGCUCCUGACAAUCUCUCUCUCUCUCUCUCUCUUGCUCUAUAUCUCUAUCUAUCUUUCUCUGGUGCUCAUUCGAGAUGGAUCUAUGUACCUGCACUACGCCUCUCCACCCCUGGAGUCUUCCAGAGUCUCGAACCCCCAAGUACAAAUGGUGAACCGUUUUUUGGCCUCCGGAAUGGCCCACGCCGGCCGUGCUGCUCCGUGCUGGCGGAGAUUGCCGGCUACAAACCAAACAUCGUGUUCUGCGGCUACCCGCCUCCAGUAGCCGAAUCCGAAAGACAACUCCCGAGAUCGACACUUUCGCAACUCCGUUCGGUGUGGUGUCACAAGCUCCACAACUAUCAGCAUUGACUCGACGACAAUAUUGUCGAUUAAAUGUCCAUUGUGUGACGUCGCCCCCCCCACAAUACGCAUCAUCUCUUCAACCGACUACGCUGACGGUGGAACACCUGUGGAGCACCCCAGCCGAUGUGGCUCACUUUCUGGACCUUGGUACGGAAUAACGACCGUCGUAGUUGGCUACAACAACAAUCUAUCUUUGUCUCUCUCUGGAUAUCAUGUUUUACUUUCACAAUUUCUGUUUCACUUGUACAGUAGCAUGAUGAACGAUGUGGCUCAUACAUCUACAGUGCCUCACAGUUCUGAAGUCUGCGGUUUGGAUCUCGGCACCGUGAUUGAUUUUGCAUGUUCUCUAUGGUGGGUUUCCUCUAGUUUUCUCCGGCUCCCUCGCGGAUUCCCAAAACAUAUGUUGAAAUGACCACCAACGUGAGCGUAAAUAGCUGUCGAAAUGUACCCUGCGGUUGGCUGACGACCAGUCAAGGGGUAACCCAUCCACGGGCUUAUUGCAAACAAGCACAAUUUUACAAAAUGGAUUGAUAAUGUGAUGGCCUCUCUUGAGGUAUACUCUCGCUCGAUUGGUUUGAAGUUGUAACUGUACACCUUAAAUUACCGGGCCCUUGACUUCGGAGGUACUAUUGCUGUUCCUGGGUUGAGGUGAUUAAGACCUGAUUUGGAUGCGCAAACACAAACUUUUUGCUUUCAAGCUCUCUGUAGUGAUUUGUUCUCUUUGUAUUCAUUGUUCAGUGCCAAGGGCAGGCGACUCACCUUGAAGGUGCACUAAGAGCCAGAGGGUACAUUGCAAUAAUUUGAGGCAUGCUCCUUCUGUCUCUUUUUGUUACCUUCUUCCUCAUUCUACCCAACUUUCAAUUUUCGGUAUUUCCAGACAUCAAUAUCAUCGAUGGCAUAAAUAAUCUGCUGUAGUUACCUACAAGCCUGACAGUUUUCAAGUCAAGUGAGUCCAUUCGAUGCAAUAUGUGAAACUCGUUCUACAUUACAGUAUAAGCACAUGCUUGAUUAUUGACUAACAUAUUGAUUGAAGAAAAUUAAAAAUAGGCCCUCGCUUUGCAAGACGUUCGGGGCAGUGUGUCCAUCAUAAAUCCUUCAUUGGGCCCCCUGGAGUCUCGGGUGGCCUCCUCGUCAGCCACUUGGUUAUUCUCCUUAUUUGCCGGGCGCAUCAUCAAAUGCCCUCCAACUCGACGCAAAUUGAUCCGUCCGUCGGCAUCCCUUUUCCCCCUCAUCCCGACCUUCAUUUAAAAUCUACCCCUCCUCAUCUCAUUUUAUUCAUCGCAGACAGAAAUCCAAUCAGUGUCCAAUCAACCAUAUCUGUGAAAUAUUUUGUCGGUAGUGGCUGACAGCAAAGUGGAAGCCUUUCGGUUCCUGUGCGCUAUUUGUUUAUCAGAGCUAGACAGAAUCCAAAUGAAGAGAAGGUUCAGAACUUGAAGUGUCUUUUUACUCAAAACGUACGUUGGCAUUUCAAAAUAACACCUUGGUGUUGUCACGGUUUGUGGUCAUAAAUUAUAUUAGGCGGUUUGUUUUAAUUCUCUUGAUGCCAAACGAGUUUGAAAAAGUUUUUUUUCCCCCCCAGAAUGUUUUUUUUUUUUUUUUGCAGGCAAUGACUGGCAUCAACUUUCAGAGUAAUUAUUUCUUUGCAGAUGUCAAAACAACUGUUUCCUCCUGAAGAAAAAAAAUGUGAAUGUAGAGUUGUACAUGAGAAGUAAGGCAGCUUGGAAGCAAGUUUUUAACUUGUCAUAAAUAAAAACAUAAAUUAC